GCGUUGAAUUGAAGCCCGAGUAAACGGCGGCCGUAACUAUAACGGUCCUAAGGUAGCGAAAUUCCUUGUCGGUUAAAUACCGACCUGCAUGAAUGGCGUAACGAGAUGGGAGCUGUCUCAACCAGAGAUUCAGUGAAAUUGUAGUGGAGGUGAAAAUUCCUCCUACCCGCGGCAAGACGGAGAGACCCCGUGGACCUUUACUACAACUU
rnacentral:rRNA from 1 species